rnacentral:rRNA from 1 species
UGGGGAAUUUUGGACAAUGGGCGAAAGCCUGAUCCAGCAAUGCCGCGUGUGUGAAGAAGGCCUUCGGGUUGUAAAGCACUUUUGUCCGGAAAGAAAUCCUUGGCUCUAAUACAGUCGGGGGAUGACGGUACCGGAAGAAUAAGCACCGGCUAACUACGUGCCAGCAGCCGCGGUAAUACGUAGGGUGCAAGCGUUAAUCGGAAUUACUGGGCGUAAAGCGUGCGCAGGCGGUUUGCUAAGACCGAUGUGAAAUCCCGGGCUCAACCUGGGAACUGCAUUGGUGACUGGCAGGCUAGAGUAUGGCAGAGGGGGGUAGAAUUCCACGUGUAGCAGUGAAAUGCGUAGAGAUGUGGAGGAAUACCGAUGGCGAAGGCAGCCCCUGGGCCAAUACUGACGCUCAUGCACGAAAGCGUGGGGAGCAAACAGGAUUCAGAUACCCUGGUAGUCCACGCCCUAAACGAUGUCAACUAGUUGUUGGGGAUUCAUUUCCUUAGUAACGUAGCUAACGCGUGAAGUUGACCGCCUGGGGAGUACGGUCGCAAGAUUAAAACUCAAAUGAAUUG